rnacentral:rRNA from 1 species
CCUACGGGGUGCAGCAGUGGGGAAUCUUCCGCAAUGGGCGAAAGCCUGACGGAGCAACGCCGCGUGAUCGAAUGAAGGCCUUCGGGUUGUAAAGAUCUGUUGACAGGGACGAAUAAGCAAUGCAAAUAGUUUUGUGUAUGACGGUACCUGUUUAGAAAGCUCCGGCUAACUACGUGCCAGCAGCCGCGGUAAUACGUAGGGAGCAAGCGUUGUCCGGAAUUACUGGGCGUAAAGGGCGCGUAGGUGGGCGCGUAAGUCAGGUGUGAAAUCUCCGGGCUCAACCUGGAGACUGCACUUGAAACUGCGUGGCUGGAGUGCAGGAGGGGCAGGCGGAAUUGCUGGUGUAGCGGUGAAAUGCGUAGAUAUCAGGAGGAACACCGGUGGCGAAGGCGGCCUGCUGGACUGCAACUGACGUUGAGGCCCGAAAGCGUGGGGAGCAAACAGGAUUAGAUACCCCAGUAGUC